UAUCUCUGUAGAGUCUGCAUAUCAAUAAGCGGAGGAAAAGAAACUAACAAGGAUUCCCUUAGUAACGGCGAGUGAAGCGGGAAGAGCUCAAAUUUGAAAUCUUCAAGGUUUUACCUUGACGAAUUGUAGUUUAAAGAAGUGUUUUCUGUUGAAGUUUUGGUAAAAGUUCUUUGGAAUAGGACAUCAUAGAGGGUGAGAAUCCCGUAUUUGACCAUUAUUUUCAGCUGUGUGAUACACUUUCAAAGAGUCGGAUUGUUUGGGAAUGCAGUCCAAAAUGGGUGGUAAAUUUCAUCUAAAGCUAAAUAUUGGCGAGAGACCGAUAGCGAACAAGUACCGUGAGGGAAAGAUGAAAAGAACUUUGAAAAGAGAGUUAAACAGUACGUGAAAUUGUCAAAAGGGAAGCGUUUGACACCAGUGUUGUUUUCUCGAAAAUCAAUUAAAAAAGGCCGGAUUUUGUGUUGUAUUGACCUUAAAAGCUUUCUUCACUCUUUUCUUGUCUUUUUUAAUGCACUUUUCGUUUAACAAGUCAACAUCAGUUUCUUUUGUUGUAAAAGGGUUAAUAGGAAGGUGGCUUUACUUUUCGGAGUAAAGUGCUUAUAGCCUUUUAACUCUGCAAUCGGAGAGAUUGAGGUCUGCAGCGUAGAUCCUUCGGGGCUAGAUACGUUUGUGCUAAGUUAUAGCUUUUCAUAGACAACUUGUUGACUAUGUUUAGUCUUGUAGCUUACUCGCUGACGCUAUUUUACCUACGCUUAGGAUGUUGAUGUGAUACUGCGAGCA
rnacentral:rRNA from 1 species